AUGAGUGACCAUUCCAAUUUCGAACAGGUCCUUGAUGAGCUUGAUGAGCUUGUUGAACAUUCUGAAUUAAAUUAUGAACUCCAGAGCUUGGAUGAUUUCAUUAAUAAGAUGUCGGGAGAACAGGAGGCAGCACCAUCCACCAGCCAUCAACCUGUCAGGUGGUUGAAGAGAGACAGUGAUGGAAAUGUUGUCUAUGACAGACCAAGGUCAUCCCGAAACCAAAUGGCUAGUCACAGCUACAGUCGUAAGGCUGGUGCUCAUCCUAGAAUGUUGGACAGCAGCGUUGAGCUAACCAACUACUGUCCUCCUGACACUGUUGAGACUUUCCUUGAAGAGCUAAACCACUCACAGGGUGAUGACUUGGAUGAUCAGGAAACGGCACCAGCACCACCACGGGCCUCUUCAGACUGGUCUACUCGAAAAAGUCUCCUCUCAGAGAGGUGGGAGAAAGAAAGAGCCUGUCUGGUGAAUACCAUGGUAGCACAACAAAAUGUGACAACUCAGAUCUGCCAACAAUGUGGCAUCAGUCCAGCUGCUGUCCGUUGUCGUGACUGCAGACCACAACCAUUUUUCUGUGCUGAUUGUGAUGUCAGUAUACACCGAAACCACGUAUUCCACAACAGGGAUGCAACAAUAGCUGGAUUCUUUCAGCCAUUGCCUCCAACAACCUGUGUCGUGGAGAGGGCUCUUUCCCAGUGUGGUAAGCUGUAUUUCUUUUUUUUCUUUCUUUUUUUUGAGUGUCCCAUUUGGGGCUGCACAAUUAAUGCAAUCACAAUUGCAAUAUGAUCCAACGCAACUGCCUAAUGGUAAAAUCUGCAAAUAAUCAUGCUUAGGUACAUUUGUGACAUUUGACUUUUAUAUUCACGUCAUCCUCCUUGACUGUGCAACUUCUGGUUGGUGGGUCUGCGUAGUGCGUAAAGGGUACAAAAAUUCUGAUUGGCGAACUUCAGUCAGUCAGUGGGUGUUAGUCUUGUACACUGGCUGUGCUUACCUAUCAGAGGUGGCACAAAUUAAAGAGACAUUUGGAAUAUUGAACUAAAUCAAAUCAUUCACAUUCAAAAAUCAUAUUGGAAAUGGUAAUCGCUUUAUCUGUCAGAAAAAGCGCAAUUAUAUAUUGUGCAGCCCUAGUCCCAUUCUCAGUUUAUUUAAAUAACUUUACAGUAUAAUAGGCCUCUCAGGAAUCUUUUGAGUACUUUCUCUGAAACACACUUUAUCUUUAAAGCUUUUCAAAUCAUUUAUUAAAAAAAAUGAUUACAGAAUACUUCCGAGUUAGUACAUAGUACGAUGCAUGUCUUUAAUCCCUGCAUAUGAUGUGUCUUUCAGUGUGUAUUGUGCCGUUGGAGAUGCCCAAAAAAAUAUGUAGUUGUUCUCCAGGAUCGUUGAGUGUCAACACAGGAAAAGUUGUUGCUGUGGUUACAAUGAAUGGUAAGAAUAAGAUGAACUUAAGGGAACAUUCCAGAUCAAGUGGCUCUAGUGUCCAUAUCACAUUCUGGGCAAAGUGCCCAUAGGGACCUGGGUUGGACUUUAACCUGAUUCCACCCCAUAGGGCUCUCCCACUUGCUUCCUGACACUUUCCAUUGUCCUAUUUGAAUAAAAAAAAACUGCUUAUCUAUUUCUAUUCA
ensembl:lncRNA